rnacentral:rRNA from 1 species
CCUACGGGAGGCAGCAGUCUAGGAGCUUCCGCAAUGGGGGAAACCCUGACGGAGCGACGCCGCGUGCGCGAUGAAGGCUUUCGGGUCGUAAAGCGCUGUCAAGUAAGAAGAAUACUAUGUGGAUGAUAACUCCACAUAGGGAGACGGUAUUACUAGAGGAAGCCCCGGCUAACUCCGUGCCAGCAGCCGCGGUAAGACGGAGGGGGCAAGCGUUGUUCGGAUUUAUUGGGCGUAAAGAGCUCGUAGGCUGUCAAGUAAGUCUGAUGUGAAAUCUUCACCGCUUAACGGGAAGUCUGCAUUGGAAACUGCUUGACUUGAGUACGGGAGAGGUGAGUGGAAUUCCUGGUGUAGCGGUGGAAUGCGUAGAGAUCAGGAAGAACACCGGUGGCGAAGGCGGCUCACUGGCCCGAAACUAACGCUGAGGAGCGAAAGCGUGGGGAGCAAACGGGAUUAGAUACCCCGGUAGUCCACGCCGUAAACAAUGAACACUAGGUGUAGCGGGUAUUGACUCCUGCUGUGCCGCAGCUAACGCAUUAAGUGUUCCGCCUGGGGACUACGGCCGCAAGGCUAAAACUCAAAUGAAUGACGG